rnacentral:sRNA from 1 species
UCCAAACUCUUUUUCAUAUCAUUCUUUUCUUUUCUCUUAACUCUAGGAGAAGCUUUCCCAACACUCUGAUACAUCUAGCGGAUCUGGAUUUCUUUAACAACUAAGGUUCCUGUUUUUAAUCUUUAAAACCAAAGGCUUUUAACCCUUCUUCUUUAGCUAACAAGAACCUCAUUCUUUUCUUUAACAUUCCCAAAACCUUUACUAGAUUUUUUUUUCUAACUUCUUUAGCUUACUUCCCCUAGAAUUUUUUCCCUUUCCUUAUCAACAAUGAAUUCACCCUUUUCUUUUAAACACAUACCAACCCAUGAUAUAAGCGCCCACCUAGUCCUAUCCAGUCCGAAAAAUGCGAACUAGAACUACAUGAAACACUAUCUUUGUCGUUACGAACCUAACACUUUCUACCAAGCUCAAUCGAAAUAAGACCUCACAAACACUCACAAGUGACAUAGGGCUUGAAAGAAAGUUUAGGUUUGGGUUCGGGUUAACUGCUCUAAUAAGGAGAGUCACCUACUUGGAUUAACAAGAGUGGUUAAAAUGAGUAAGAAAAUCCAAGUAUUUUAGGGUAUCCAUGAGUUCAAAUUCGAUGCCAAGACAUGAUAAUUCUAAAUCAGAUUCAAGUUCAAAUUGAUAGGGAAUGGUAUCAUAUCCUAACAGUGUGGUCGAGUAGAGCAAUCUAGGCAUGGUGCAGUUUUACUUCAAUUUCAUUGACUACGCAUCAGACAACUAACAACGAGGGCACUAAGCUUAUCUGGUGAACCAAAAUGCUUACAAGGCUAUCUCAUCAUUAUCCCCUAUGCAUAUACAACAAUCCUAAACGAAACACUCUAGACUCGAUCCUAAAUGCAAUGCAACUACAUGAACACUAUUUUUGUGAAAUCAUUUUUUGAAAAUUUUCAAUUUUUUUUGUUUUUUCAAUGCCUUAGAUGAAUGCAGACUCAAAAUUAUAUACAAUGCAACACACACUUCCUGAGCCCUCCCCCAAACUUAAAUCACACAGUCCACUGUGUGACCAAAUUUGGAAGAGAGUACUCAGGACAAAACACAUCACAGAAACAAAAUAAAAACAGGAGAUGGUAUAUUACAAUGGUGGAGUGAGUUGCUUACCUCAGUGGAAGAAGGAGCGGAGUUGGUCGUCAAUGGCUGCCUGUGAUUGCUCCCAGGACAUAGACGAGCCGCCAUGUUCUGUGUCAGCUCCAGCAUGUGGGUACUCAACCUCUUCUCCUUCGUGGCUGCCAGCACUGCGGUCGAGUGAAUUUUGGAUAUAGAGAAGUUGUGACUGGCAUCAACUAUAUUCGAUCGCAGCUUCAUUCGCUCCCCGUAGGGUGUGGUCGAGUAUACUGCUCUCUUCUUCUACUGCGGUCAGCACCGCUUUGUGUAUACUCGAUCUCACUCUUCUACUGCGGCCACCACCGCGGUCGAGUGAUCUCCUGGCGUGGAGAAGCCAAAACAAGGUCGAGUGUCUUUGAUUGCUCAAUGGUCGUGAGUAGUUGUUCCCUCAGACCCAGAAUCUACUUCAUUCAGCUCUUCAUACUUAUCUCCUGAAAACACUACUAGAAUGCAUUAAAAACAACAAGGAAAAAUAAUGAUAUUUACGAAGAUAGACAUGGGACUUCCUGCCAAGUGAGCUUGUUUUAAGUCUCUAGCUUGACUCCUCACACUCAUUAGGCUUAUGGAGGGUGAUAGAGAAGAAUUGAAAUCUUCUCUUCUUCCUUAGCAGAUACAACAUCGGACUUAGCAUGCUCUCUUGACAGGUCUGUAAUUGAGUACUCAAUGGCCCUUUCCUUAUAAGCUUCUUUUAUUUCUUGUGAAUAGUCUUCGUCUUCAGACCAUUCUAAAACAAAUUUCUUCUUUGAUAUAGCUUCAAUGCCGAGUUGAGGUUGAAUAGCUUCCCUUUGCAUCCGACUCACUUUAUCCCUAAAUUUCUCAACACUGCAAGCUAGCUUCUGGAUGGUUUCUUCGUGGAGAUCAGACUUCCCUUUAAGUUCUAGCCAAUCAACUACACAGAGCGUACUAGAUUGAGUGGUUGAGCUUGAAGGUCGUGUUGGAGCUAAACUUGGUUCCUUUACUCUUUUAGUCUCAAAUCCAUCUUCUGUAACCACUCCUUGGACCCAAAGGUUCGUCCCUCUAUGGUUGAUCUUCUUGGAGCUUUGUUGAUGUCAAACAGUAACCUUAUAUCCUUCCCAAGAUUGAGAUCAAUCUUUCCAUCUUUGACGUCUAUCACCGCUCCAACUGAGGCCAAGAAAGGUCUUCCUAGGAUCAGAGGAUCCUUAGGUUCUUCAUCCAUCUCAAGCACCACAAAGUCUGUAGGCACGUCUACUCCAUUAAUCUUGAUAGGCAUAUCUUCUGGUAGCCCAUAGGGUUUUCUUAUGGUCCUAUCAGCAAGGAUCAAAGAUAAGUCGCACGAUUUAUAUUUGACAAAUCCCAGCUUCCUUGCCACAGAAAGUGGCAUUAGGCUGACUGAAGCUCCUAGAUCACAUAGAGAGUUGCUAAAAGCCAGUUGCCUAAUAGAGCAUGGUAGAGUAAAAGAUCCCGGAUCUUCCAACUUUUCUUGAACAAUGUUCUUCUUGAUGAUUGCACUACACUCGUGAGUUAACGCCACCGUUCCUUGAACUUCUUUGAUCCUCUCUGUAAUCAUGUCUUUUAUACGUUUGUGUGAGUGCGGUAUUAGCGCAAGACAGUCUACUAGAGGCAUUGUGAUUUCAAGGUCUUUCAAUUGUUUUUCCAAGAGAGCUUCAUAUUUGUUUAUCAGUUGCUUCUUGAAUCUCCCUGGAAAUGGUAGUGGAGGCUUGUAGGGUGGAGGAACAAAGACUUUAUCCUUGGUUUUAGCAGCGGCAGGCUUUUUAACAAAAGAAAAUACUGCUUGAGCUUGGGAUCGAGUACUGCGAUCGAGUAUGGGCUCCUCUAUUUCUAUUUCAGCUGAAAUUUCAUUCUGAACAAAAUCCUCUCCUUCUUAAACUUCACUGUCCCUAGUGAUAGAGGUAGAGGCAUGUCGAGUUGGCAACUCUCGAUCAUGGCAGAUACUGAUGGCGUGAGCAGUGGCAUACUCCUUAGGGUUCUGGAUUGCUUUCCCUGGAAGCUGGCCUGGGUUGUUGUUAACAGAUGGUGUAGUGAGGAUGCUUUCCACAUAUCUCAUCCUAGUGCUCAAUGAUUCGAACUUGCUGUUAAGUUUGAUGCCUUAUCGGUCAACUUUGUUGUUUAAUUCAGCCAGCUUCUUAGCGAUUUCCAUUCCUCCUGUGGCUUGUCCUUGAAUGAGCUGCUGGAGCAUAGUCAUUAUAUAUGAAUUCUGAGACGCAUGUGCUUGUUGUUGAUUUGGUGUGAAACCAGGUGGUGGCUGUUGUUGUUGAUAUCCUCCUUGAAACUGCUGCUUUAAAACGAACCCUUGGCUUUGGUUGUAAGGAACAAAUGGUUUGGGUUGGUUAUGCUGCUGUUGAGGGUAGACUUGGUCCUUAGGGUUGGCAAUAUUGGUGCUUCUGUAUGACAGAGGUGGGUUGGGUCUGUAAUUGUUGUACCCCUUGUUGUAGCCACAUUGAUUCUGAACAUAGCUAUCAGCACACUGAUCUUUCACCCUCUCUUGUACUUGGAAUGGUUCAUCUUUUGCCAAGAAGGCCUUUUUACAGUCAUCCCAGGUCGUGAUUGAUACCUGGGGUAGCAUCUUUUCCCACAGAUGGGCUUUUUCUCCAAGUGAGAAUGGAAACAAGCGAAGCUUAAAACCAUCUUCACUAACUCCAUUGAUUUUAGUAAGGCUACAGAGCCUUUCAAACUCGUCUAGAUGAUCUAGCGGAUCCUCCAUUGGCAAGCCAUGAAACUUGUUUCCCUGCACCAUUGCAAUGAGACUGCUUUUUACCUCAAAGUUGUGGUUCUGUACUAGAGGUGGAACAAUGCCAUGACGAUGGUUGUGGUUGUGAGGGAAGUCACUGGCACCAAUGUUGUUAGGUUGCUCUUGCUCAUCUACUAUGUCAUUCAUUGUGUCUGUUGCUGUCUGUUCUCUCAGUUGGCGAGCAAUACGGUCGAUGUUAUCGUUGAAUAGGAAGUUCUGAUUCCCUUUUGACCGUGUAUGCAUGCAACAUGUAGAACCUGGCUAUAAGAGACGAAUAAAGUUGGUUGCUAAGUACCUGAAAUACAAAGUCUGAAAAGACACAAUGUUAGUAUCUUUUAUAACAAAAACGAACUUGAUCUUAACAAUUCUAAAAUCUCAAAUAUAGCAAACAAGCACCCAAUUGGCAAUGGCGCCAAAUUGAUAAUU